rnacentral:rRNA from 1 species
CAAUAGCGUAUAUUAAAGUUGUUGCAGUUAAAAAGCUCGUAGUUGGAUUUCUGGUCGGAAGCUCCUGUCCUCUGAUGAGCGUACAAGUGCGUCCUACCAUCCUUCUGUUAACCUUUAAGGCUUUCGCGGUUUUCUAGGGGCUCAGAUAUUUUACCUUGAGAAAAUUAGAGUGUUUCAGGCAGGCUAGCGCCGGAAUACAUUAGCAUGGAAUAAUGGAAUAGGACUUUUGCCUCUUCUGUUGGUCAUGAGGCUCGAGUAAUGAUUAAUAGGGAUAGUUGGGGGCAUUAGUACUUAACUGUCAGAGGUGAAAUUCUCGGAUUUGUUAAAGACUAACUUAUGCGAAAGCAUUUGCCAAGGAUGUUUUCAUUAA